AAGAGUGCAAUAAGACAACAAAAGAAAGUGAAGGGAUAUGACCUAUCCCACCCAAAUGAGUUCUUGCCUGAGCUGAAAGAAGAACAACAGCUUGCUCUUCCACCUAACGAAGUGAACUGCAAAUCCAGACAAAACCUAUUGUACAAAUGGAAGUGUUUCUUUUGACCCAUCUCUUGAUAUAAGAAGACAGAAGAACGACACCACGCUGUCAAACUUAGGAUCUGUGAAGGAUAACGAAAGACAAGAUCUUAACUGUGCUGUGAAGGAAUACUUACUCUUGGCAGGGUAUCGUCUGACUGCAAUGACAUUCUAUGAAGAGGUUAUGGAUCAGGAAAAUAGAUACACCAUGUAACUUUGUUGCCUUGUUUCAUGGAAUGCAUAUGUAUGAUUGUGUGAUGCUAUCACUGCCUUACUUGGUAGCUUCAACUUGCCACUCAGUACUUCGGAUCUUGCCGCCGCCAAACUAAUAAGGAAAUAUUCUCUCCGUGGAUUAAUAAGGAUCCACAGAAUACAGAAGUUGGAGGUGAAUUAUUUUCGACGCCAUUGACCUGAAACACCAUCUAGGGGAUCAUACUUAUGUCUCAGUAACUGAUAGUGGUUACUGGCAGAUAGAGCUAGAAGGUCUUGACAUUGCAAACAGUUCAACAGGUCACUGUUCGGCAGAAUACUGCAUCAUGUGAAGAGAUGGCUACAACAAUGUCUACGGCAGAAUCUGUAGCUCUUAAAGGACUACCUCAAUGCAUUGUUACUGUGAUAGCUGAGUUUGCCAGAUUCAGCAAGACUUUGAUAUUAUACUGGAGCCAUGUCCCAUGUUUGCUGAAGCCAUCCUUCAAGUCAGAAUCAGUACCCUGGGGUGCUCCUAAUAAGCUUCUUGGAGCUGAUGGCAGCUGGAUAAGGCACUGUGUCAUGUUCCUGAGUGGCUGACCUCAUGAGAUAAUAAAAUCAACCUUCAGAAGUGACAGAGAUGCCAGCUGCUCCUGUACACCCUUUCCACUCCAAGAUGAACAUUCGAAGAGGGGUACUAGAAGAAGAAUGUGCAGACAUAAUGCAGCACUUCUCCCGACUCAAAAGGAGGAAGGCAAAGGAAAAGGAAAAGGAAAAGGAAAAGGAUAUAUC